rnacentral:lncRNA from 1 species
CUGGCACCUUGAUCUUGAACAUUCUAGCCUCCAGAACUGUGAGAAAUAAAUUUCUGUUGUUUAUAAGUCACCCACUUAUAGCAUUUUAUUACAGCAGCCUGAAAAGAUGAAGACAGAGGGACAGCCAGACCUUCACUCGGUGUGAGGUGUGUGGAGUUAUUAGUGGGUCUCUCCUUUGAGUGAAGUUUAUCAAGUUCCAUUUUUUUCUUCUUAAAAGCAGGUUAAGCAGGGGUGCUGAAUCUGGGGUUCCUCAGACUCCCAAGGCAUCUGUGGAUAUAAUUCAAGGAGUCUGUGAUCUUGGAUGAGACAAAUAUUUAACAUUUUUAUUUGCACUAAUCUCUUACCACACCUAGCAUUUUCUUUACUGUAACUACAGGAAACAAA